GGGAGGGCGCUUUAUGUCCUCUCUCCCCCAAGCCCUCUCUGUUUUCAGCAACUGUCUUCAAUCAGCCUCAUCACCACCGGUGUAUAUAAGCCUGCCUGUUCCCGGAAAUCCUCGCCUAAGUAUUGCAGCCUCUCCUUGCGUGCUCCCCUGUGUUCCUGACCCACGUCAUUCCUGCCACCAAGCCAGCCGCCUGUUGUGUUCACUGCCUGCCACCUGUCCACGCCGCUGCCUGCCAACACAUCCAGGACCACCUCCAUAACCUUUCCUCAAUAAACUGUUCAUCAUUUUA